UACGGAGGGUGCAAGCGUUAAUCGGAAUUACUGGGCGUAAAGCGCAUGCAGGUGGUUAAUUAAGUCAGAUGUAAAAUCCCCGAGCUCAACUUGGGACUGUGAUUUGAAACUGGUUAACUAGAGUACUGUAGAGGGGGGUAGAAUUUCAGGUGUAGCGGUGAAAUGCGUAGAGAUCUGAAGGAAUACCGGUGGCGAAGGCGGCCCCCUGGACAGAUACUGACACUCAGAUGCGAAAGCGUGGGUAGCAAACAGG
rnacentral:rRNA from 1 species